rnacentral:rRNA from 1 species
GAUGAACGCUGGCGGCGUGCCUAAUACAUGCAAGUCGAGCGAACAGACGAGGAGCUUGCUCCUCUGACGUUAGCGGCGGACGGGUGAGUAACACGUGGAUAACCUACCUAUAAGACUGGGAUAACUUCGGGAAACCGGAGCUAAUACCGGAUAAUAUCUUGAACCGCAUGGUUCAAUAGUGAAAGACGGUUUUGCUGUAACUUCUAGAUGGAUCCGCGCCGCAUUAGCUAGUUGGUAAGGUAACGGCUUACCAAGGCAACGAUGCGUAGCCGACCUGAGAGCGUGAUCGGCCACACGGGAACUGAGACACGGUCCAGACUCCUACGGGAGGCAGCAGUAGGGAAUCGUCCGCAAUGGGCGAAAGCCUGACGGAGCAACGCCGCGUGAGUUAUGAAGGUCUUCGGAUCGUAAAACUCUGUUAUUAGGGAAGAACAAAUGUGUAAGUAACUAUGCACGUCUUGACGGUACCUGAUCAGAAAGCCACGGCUAACUACGUG